AGGAAUCUGCCUGGUAGUGGGGGACAACGUUUCGAAAGGAACGCUAAUACCGCAUACGUCCUACGGGAGAAAGCAGGGGACCUUCGGGCCUUGCGCUAUCAGAUGAGCCUAGGUCGGAUUAGCUAGUUGGUGAGGUAAUGGCUCACCAAGGCGACGAUCCGUAACUGGUCUGAGAGGAUGAUCAGUCACACUGGAACUGAGACACGGUCCAGACUCCUACGGGAGGCAGCAGUGGGGAAUAUUGGACAAUGGGCGAAAGCCUGAUCCAGCCAUGCCGCGUGUGUGAAGAAGGUCUUCGGAUUGUAAAGCACUUUAAGUUGGGAGGAAGGGCAGUAAGCGAAUACCUUGCUGUUUUGACGUUACCGACAGAAUAAGCACCGGCUAACUCUGUGCCAGCAGCCG
rnacentral:rRNA from 1 species